rnacentral:rRNA from 1 species
AGAGUUUGAUCCUGGCUCAGGACGAACGCUGGCGGCGUGCUUAACACAUGCAAGUCGAACGGAAAGGCCCUUCGGGGUACUCGAGUGGCGAACGGGUGAGUAACACGUGGGUGAUCUGCCCUGCACUUUGGGAUAAGCCUGGGAAACUGGGUCUAAUACCGAAUAUGACCAUGCACUUCCUGGUGUGUGGUGGAAAGCUUUUGCGGUGUGGGAUGGGCCCGCGGCCUAUCAGCUUGUUGGUGGGGUAAUGGCCUACCAAGGCGACGACGGGUAGCCGGCCUGAGAGGGUGACCGGCCACACUGGGACUGAGAUACGGCCCAGACUCCUACGGGAGGCAGCAGUGGGGAAUAUUGCACAAUGGGCGCAAGCCUGAUGCAGCGACGCCGCGUGAGGGAUGACGGCCUUCGGGUUGUAAACCCCUUUCAGCACAGACGAAGCGCAAGUGACGGUAUGUGCAGAAGAAGGACCGGCCAACUACGUGCCAGCAGCCGCGGUAAUACGUAGGGUCCGAGCGUUGUCCGGAAUUACUGGGCGUAAAGAGCUCGUAGGUGGUUUGUCGCGUUGUUCGUGAAAACUCACAGCUUAACUGUGGGCGUGCGGGCGAUACGGGCAGACUUGAGUACUGCAGGGGAGACUGGAAUUCCUGGUGUAGCGGUGGAAUGCGCAGAUAUCAGGAGGAACACCGGUGGCGAAGGCGGGUCUCUGGGCAGUAACUGACGCUGAGGAGCGAAAGCGUGGGGAGCGAACAGGAUUAGAUACCCUGGUAGUCC